rnacentral:rRNA from 1 species
UUGAACGCUGGCGGCAUGCCUUACACAUGCAAGUCGAACGGCAGCGCGGACUUCGGUCUGGCGGCGAGUGGCGAACGGGUGAGUAAUACAUCGGAACGUACCCUGUUGUGGGGGAUAACUAGUCGAAAGAUUAGCUAAUACCGCAUACGACCUGAGGGUGAAAGUGGGGGAUCGCAAGGCCUCACGCAGCAGGAGCGGCCGAUGUCUGAUUAGCUAGUUGGUGGGGUAAAGGCCCACCAAGGCGACGAUCAGUAGCUGGUCUGAGAGGACGAUCAGCCACACUGGGACUGAGACACGGCCCAGACUCCUACGGGAGGCAGCAGUGGGGAAUUUUGGACAAUGGGGGCAACCCUGAUCCAGCAAUGCCGCGUGUGUGAAGAAGGCCUUCGGGUUGUAAAGCACUUUUGUCCGGAAAGAAAUCGCGCUGGUUAAUACCUGGCGUGGAUGACGGUACCGGAAGAAUAAGCACCGGCUAACUACGUG